ensembl:snoRNA
UCUGGCGAUGAUGACACACUUGCCCUCACUGAGAACAGUGUUCGAUAAUGAGCCUCAACCAAGCGCUCAAAUGAGCUGAGCCAGA